UACAGAGGCCUCGAGCGUUAUCCGGAAUUACUGGGCGUAAAGGGUGAGUAGGUUGCAUUGUUAGUCGAGUGUUAAAUCCUUCCGCUUAACGGAAGAAUCGCAUUCGAAACGGCAAAGCUGAGAGGGCAGGAGGGGUGCUUGGUACUCAAGGUGUAGGGGUGAAAUCCGUUGAUAUCUUGGGGAACACCAAAAGCGAAGGCAAUGCACUGGCCUGUACCUGACACUGAAUCACGAAAGCGUGGGUAGCGAAUGGG
rnacentral:rRNA from 1 species